rnacentral:rRNA from 1 species
UACGAAGGGGGGCUAGCGUUGCUCGGAUUCAUUGGGCGUAAAGGGUGCGUAGGUGGCGCUGUAAGUCGGGGUGUGAAAUUUCGGAGCUUAACUCCGAAACUGCAUUCGAUACUGCCGUGCUUGAGGACUGGAGAGGAGACUGGAAUUUACGGUGUAGCGGUGAAAUGCGUAGAUAUCAUAGGAAGACCAGUGGCGAAGGCGGGU